UCAAUUUCGCACGCGAAAAAA
ensembl:piRNA 21ur-13429 ncRNA